rnacentral:lncRNA from 1 species
GCUAUUGUUGUUACUGUUCUUGUUCUUGUUCUUGUUGUUGUCGUCGUCGUCAUCGUCUUCGAUGUUCAUGUUGUUGUUCUGUUGUUCUUGUUGUUCUUGUUGUUCUCAUCGUCGUCCUCGUUGUUUUUGUUGUUGUUGUUGUUGGUGUUGAUGUCGUUGUUGUCGUUGUUGUCACUAUUGUCGUUGUUGUUGUUGUGGUGGUGGUUGUUGUUGUUGUUGUUGUUGUUGUGUCUAUUGUUGUUGUUGUGGCUGUCAUCGUCGUCUUGGUAGUCGUCGUCGUCGUCAUCGAAAUUGAUGCCACCCUUGUCGUCGUUGUCGCCGUCGUCGUCAUUGU